UUGCACGCUGGCGGCCUGCUUUACCCCUGCAAGUCGCACGGUAACAGGCCUUCGGGUGCUGACGAGUGGCGAACGGGUGAGUAAUGCAUCGGAACGUACCCAGAGGUGGGGGAUAACGCAGCGAAAGCUGUGCUAAUACUGCAUGUGAUCUGAGGAUGAAAGCGGGGGACCGAGCAGCAAUGUUUGGCCUCGCGCCUUUGGAGCGGCCGAUGUCGGAUUAGCUAGUUGGUGGGGUAAAGGCCUACCAAGGCGACGAUCCGUAGCUGGUCUGAGAGGACGACCAGCCACACUGGGACUGAGACACGGCCCAGACUCCUACGGGAGGCAGCAGUGGGGAAUUUUGGACAAUGGGCGCAAGCCUGAUCCAGCAAUGCCGCGUGCGGGAAGAAGGCCUUCGGGUUGUAAACCGCUUUUGGCAGGAACGAAACGGUGUCCGCUAAUACCGGGCGCUAAUGACGGUACCUGCAGAAUAAGCACCGGCUAACUACGUG
rnacentral:rRNA from 1 species